GACGAACGCUGGCGGCGUGCUUAACACAUGCAAGUCGAACGGAAAGGCCCCUUUGGGGGUCCUCGAGUGGCGAACGGGUGAGUAACACGUGAGUAACCUGCCCUUGACUUCGGGAUAACUUCAGGAAACUGGGGCUAAUACCGGAUAGGAAUCCUUGCUGCAUGGUGGGGGUUGGAAAGCUUCGGCGGUUUUGGAUGGACUCGCGGCUUAUCAGCUUGUUGGUGGGGUAGUGGCUUACCAAGGCUUUGACGGGUAGCCGGCCUGAGAGGGCGACCGGCCACAGUGGGACUGAGAUACGGCCCAGACUCCUACGGGAGGCAGCAGGGGGGAAUAUUGCACAAUGGGCGGAAGCCUGAUGCAGCAACGCCGCGUGCGGGAUGACGGCCUUCGGGUUGUAAACCGCUUUCAGCAGGGGCGAAGCUUGUGGUGACGGUACCUGCAGAAGAAGCACCGGCUAACUACGUG
rnacentral:rRNA from 1 species